CGGCGGGCGCGGGCACCUCGCGGGGCAGGGGAGGCCCGCCGCCCCCUCCCGCACUUGUAGCCGUCGCGGCCAUUUUGGCUGAGGGCUCGGGGACAAAGCCACCUGGAGACCCCGGGGAGGCGUCAUCUGGGCACGGUGGCGUAGGAGCAACGUUCGCGCGGCGCGUUGCCGCCAUUUCUUUCCGAUGCUCUGUGUCCCUUCCGCUCGCGGCUCUUGGUGCUUGGCCACCCUGGUGGGCCCUCGAGGGGCGGGCUGCUGCGCUCGCGGCCUUCCGGACCGCGGACCCCGGCCCGGCCCUUGCCAUGGCGCCGCCUCCGGCCCCGCUGCCCGCGUGGGAACCGGCCGGCGCCGGGCGCGAGCGGAGGGGGCCGGGCGCCGUGAGCUUCGCGGACGUGGCCGUGUACUUCUCCCCCGAGGAGUGGGGCUGUCUGCGGCCCGCGCAGAGGGCCCUGUACCGGGACGUGAUGCGGGAGACCUACGGCCACCUGGGCGCGCUCGGGUUCCGAGGCGCCAAGCCAGCUCUCAUCUCCUGGGUGGAGGAAGAGGCCGACCUGUGGGGCCCGGCUGCCCGGGAUCCGGAGGUGGGAGAGUGUCUGACAGAAGCAGACGCAGAUUCCAGAAACAAGGAAGAGAAAAGACAAAGAGGAGGGACUGAGGCCCCGGAGAAGAGCCCUUCUGUGCAACCUCGGCCUCCUGGGCCGAAGGCUCCAACGCACCCUUCUGCUGGCUUCCCUGACAGCUCGGAGCAGCCGGCCAAGGCACCCCGUCGGGGUCGCCCCCCGCUCUGUGCGCAUCCCCCUGUCCCAAGAGCCGACCAGCGUCAUGGUUGCUACGUGUGCGGGAAGAGUUUUGCCUGGCGUUCCACGCUGGCGGAGCAUCUGUACACGCACACGGGGGAGAAGCCCUUCCGUUGCCCCGACUGCGGCAAGGGCUUCAGCCAGGCCUCCUCUCUGAGCAAGCACCGGGCCAUCCACCGAGGGGAGCGGCCCCACCGCUGCCUGGACUGCGGCCGGGCCUUCACGCAGCGCUCUGCCCUCACCACUCACCUGCGGGUGCACACGGGCGAGAAGCCCUAUGGCUGUGCUGACUGCGGCCGCUGCUUUAGCCAGAGCUCUGCCCUCUACCAGCACCAGCGGGUCCACAGUGGCGAGACUCCCUUCCCCUGCCCGGACUGUGGCCGCGCCUUUGCCCAUGCAUCAGACCUUCGGCGCCACAUACGCACCCACACGGGCGAGAAGCCCUACCCGUGCCCAGAGUGUGGGCGCUGUUUCCGACAGAGCUCCGAAAUGGCAGCCCAUCGGCGUACCCACAGCGGCGAACGCCCCUACCCCUGUCCUCAGUGUGGCAGGUGCUUUGGCCAGAAGUCAGCCAUGGCCAAGCACCAGUGGGUCCACAGGCCUGGUGCCGGGGGGCACAGGGGCCGGGGUGCCAGUGCAUUGCCUGUGCCUCUGGCCCCUGGCCAAGGGGACCGGGACCCACCUGUGGGCUUCCAGCACUACCCAGAAAUAUUCCAGGAGUGUGGGUGAUGGUCCUAAAGAUGUCAAGGCAAAGGGUGAAGAUCUAGACAUUGCCUGAGGCCCAGGUUGGGCUCAGGGGCCUGAACCUCUGUGGCAGCUCCAGGGAGGUCACACAAUUCCAGGCAAGAGGUGGACCUGGGGGAUGAGGACCCUCUUACCUUAGGCCUUCACGAGCUUGAUCUGCUGACACCUUGCUCCCUACUGUCCCAGACUCUAGAAGCCCCCUCUGCUCCGUUAGGGCUGAGGGGCCUGUGCCGUGGCUGAGCUCUUGCGGGUACCUCAAAUCUUCUUGAAUAUACAGGGACGUCUCUCGUAGCAUCUGUCCGUUGCAUGCAGGGAAAGAGCAGUUCACGCAGGAGUCCCCCUCACACUGAGGGCCUUUGCUCAAUGCUGGCCAAGUUGGCUGGACCGUAAGUGUUGCACACCGAAUACCUCUGCCCCAGCGCUGCCACCCACCGGGAACGAUCCUAUGGACAAAGAGCCGCCCAACUCAGGACACAAACCCAGCUCUUCCUCACCAGGACACAGUGGUAGAAUAAGGAGAAUGGAAGAUGCCAUCUUUCCUCCUAAACCAGUUUCUUCCUUUCAUUUGUCUGAGAAGGCAACGAGAAAACACAAUCAUGGCUCCUGCAUCACUCACACAGGGAGGAUUUGGCUCAUCAAUUGUCAAGAACGCUACCAAAAUACUUUCAGCAGCAAGGGUAAAAAAGGGGACAAGAAUUGUCUUUCCAGAAUCACUUUUCCCUUGAUUCAAAGCUGCACCAAGGGCAGUGUUUCUUAGGUUCCCUUCUACAAGCUUCUGUCCAAGUCAGACAGGGACCGGAGAGUUCUUAGCUCCCUUAAUGGCCAGAUGGUUCUCUACUUCUGAACUCCGCCACCCUCACCUGGAAGUAACUCCCAUAGGAUCCCUGCCUCUCUGUGAGAAAACCCAGGAACCAGGGACUAAGGCUCCCACUUCGGGGAAGGUGGAAGGGAUAGGCAGGUAAUAGAAAAGAAAGCAGCCUCCUCUCUGUGGGAGGCUCGGCCAACUGACCCCUUCAGCACCAGGAAUCUGUGGGAGAAAGGAAAGUGCUGGGAAAGGAAGUAUGCGGGAG